rnacentral:rRNA from 1 species
UACGUAGGCAGCAAGCGUUGUUCGGAGUUACUGGGCGUAAAGGGUGUGUAGGCGGUUGUUUAAGUUUGGUGUGAAAUCUCCCGGCUCAACUGGGAGGGUGCGGCGGAGACUGGAAUGCUAGAGUAUGGGAGAGGUAAGCGGAAUUCCUGGUGUAGCGGUGAAAUGCGUAGAUAUCAGGAGGAACACCUGUGGUGUAGACAGCUUACUGGACCAUGACUGACGCUGAGACACGAAAGCGUGGGUAGCAAACAGG